GACGAACGCUGGCGGCGUGCUUAACACAUGCAAGUCGAACGGAAAGGCCCUGCUUUUGUGGGGUGCUCGAGUGGCGAACGGGUGAGUAACACGUGAGUAACCUGCCCUUGACUUUGGGAUAACUUCAGGAAACUGGGGCUCAUACCGGAUAGGAGCUCCUGCUGCAUGGUGGGGGUUGGAAAGUUUCGGCGGUUGGGGAUGGACUCGCGGCUUAUCAGCUUGUUGGUGGAGUAGUGGCUUACCAAGGCUUUGACGGGUAGCCGGCCUGAGAGGGUGACCGGCCACAUUGGGACUGAGAUACGGCCCAGACUCCUACGGGAGGCAGCAGUGGGGAAUAUUGCACAAUGGGCGGAAGCCUGAUGCAGCAACGCCGCGUGCGGGAUGACGGCCUUCGGGUUGUAAACCGCUUUCGCCUGUGACGAAGCGUGAGUGACGGUAAUGGGUAAAGAAGCACCGGCUAACUACGUG
rnacentral:rRNA from 1 species